CUUCCUUUCCUCUUAUUCAGGCUCUCUCAUUUGCGAAAUCGGCCGACGUGCGCCUCCGCAGCUCCGCCACAUUUCCUAAAGAACACAUCUUUGUUAAUCGGCAUUUCGAUUUCGAUAACAUUUACGCCUGCACUCCAAUGCAAGUCUAGGAAUCUAUGCUGUUGGCCAUGGGGUAGGGGGGCUUGAGUGGAACUAACAUAAAACGAAGAGGGCCCUUGUCCGUGCUCAAGUUUUGCACUGUGACGUUCGCAACCUCUUCUAUAUUAAUAUUGUCAUGCCAUGGCAAGGGGCUGUAUGUUGUAAAAGGCGGGGAUUGCAUCCUAGUAUUGGAUAGCAAUUUAGACUUCAGCCCGAAAAAUCUUGCUCCCCUGUCCUAAUUGAGCUAUCACCGUGUUUCCUGCAUUGAUCUCAUUCUCUUGCUGAUCCAUUCGUUGGU